rnacentral:misc_RNA from 1 species
GGGCGCCGCGGCCGGCCCCGCCGCGGCUGGAGUCUGCAAGGCUCAGCGAGGCUCCUCGUCGGUGACCGCCCCGGGGCCACGCCAAACGACACGCCGAGCCGCCCCGCCCUGCAGGCCUGUAACAGUUACAUCCGGGAGGAUCGGGCCCAUGGCCCAACCUCAUCGCGGUGAAAGAGUCCUUCUCGGGACCCGUGUACCCCCGGACAUGGGUGAGGUCGUGAAG